ACUGGCUGUGCUAGCUUCCACGUGGGCUCCAACUGCCAGACACCCCAGAGUUUCACACAAGCUAUCGCUGACUGCCGGUGCGUGUUUGAAGUGGGCCACAGGGGCUGGGCAUGAUAUGAGCUGCCUGGACAUUGGAGGAGGCUUCCCCGGAAUGGAGGGCUCCGGAUCCAAGUUUGAGGAGGGAUAAUUCUAACGCCUACACUGCAGGGUGCCUUGGGGAUGAAAGGACUGAUGCAGCAGUUGAGAACAACAAGCAAUAACAACCAUACGAAGAAUCUAGCAAACUCUACUUUACUUCUCCUUUUCGUGGUCCUGGAAAGAAGAAGACUUUACUUCUCCUUUUCGUGGUCCUGGAAAGAAGAAGACUUUACUUCUCCUUUUCGUGGUCCUGGAAACAGCUCAGAAUAAAGUAGAUCUGGACCUCUACAGAAGAGAGGGAGCUCCGGAUUCCAGGCCUCAGCAGUUGAGCUGGUUCACCUUGGAAUCUGACUCUGACAAGCAAAAGGAAGGAGAGUUUGAGCAUCUUUCCAGCACCUGCCAGGAGAACAGGCAGUGGCAGUGUGACCAAGAACCAUGCCUGGUGGAUCCAGACAUGAUCAAAGCCAUCAACCAGGGCAACUAUGGGUGAGA
rnacentral:sRNA from 1 species